rnacentral:rRNA from 1 species
UCAGUCGACUCCUACGGGGAGGCAGCAGUGGGGAAUAUUGCACAAUGGGGGGAAACCCUGAUGCAGCCAUGCCGCGUGUGUGAAGAAGGCCUUCGGGUUGUAAAGCACUUUCAGUAGGGAGGAAGGUAGUGUAGUUAACACCUGCAUUAUUUGACGUUACCUACAGAAGAAGCACCGGCUAACUCCGUGCCAGCAGCCGCGGUAAUACGGAGGGUGCGAGCGUUAAUCGGAAUUACUGGGCGUAAAGCGCAUGCAGGCGGCCUGUUAAGUCAGAUGUGAAAGCCCGGGGCUUAACCUCGGAAUUGCAUUUGAAACUGGCAGGCUAGAGUCUUGUAGAGGGGGGUAGGAAUUUCAGGUGUAGCGGUGAAAUGCGUAGAGAUCUGAAGGAAUACCAGUGGCGAAGGCGGCCCCCUCGGACAAAGACUGACGCUCAGAUGCGAAAGCGUGGGGAGCAAACAGGAUUAGAUACCCUGGUAG